AGAGCAAAUACUCGAAAAAACAAUCUCAGUUCAGACUGCAGGCUGCAACUCGCCUGCACGAAGUCGGAAUUGCUAGUAAUCGUAGGUCAGCAUACUACGGUGAAUACGUUCCCGGGCCUUGUACACACCGCCCGUCACACCAUGGGAGUCGGAAAUGCCCGAAGUCUGUGACCCAACCGGAAGGAGGGAGCAGCCGAAGGCAGGUCGGAUGACUGGGGUGAAGUCGUAACAAGGUAUC
rnacentral:rRNA from 1 species